rnacentral:tRNA from 1 species
GCCUUCGUAGCUCCAGAGGUAGAGCGUCUCCGUGGUAUGGAGAAGGCCGUCAGUUCGAAUCUGACCGAAGGCU